UACAGAGGUCCCAAGCGUUGUUCGGAUUCACUGGGCGUAAAGGGUGCGUAGGCGGUCGGGUAAGUCUGACGUGAAAUCUCCGAGCCCAACUCGGAAACUGCGUCGGAUACUAUUCGGCUAGAGGAAUGGAGGGGAGACUGGAAUUCUCGGUGUAGCAGUGAAAUGCGUAGAUAUCGAGAGGAACACCAGUGGCGAAGGCGAGUCUCUGGACAUUUCCUGACGCUGAGGCACGAAAGCCAGGGGAGCAAACGGG
rnacentral:rRNA from 2 species